rnacentral:ncRNA from 1 species
GGUUUGGUCCUGACCUUAAAGUCAAUUAUUUCUUAAUAUACACAUGCAAGUAUCAGCCCUCCUGUGAAAACGCCCUUAAUUUUCCCCAUUAGGGAUAAGGAGCUGGUAUCAGGCACAAAAUAUGCCCAAAACACCUAGCUAUGCCACACCCACAAGGGAACUCAGCAGUGAUUAACAUUAAACAUAAGCGCCAGCUUGAUUUAGUUAAAGAAAAUAGAGCCGGCAAAUCUGGUGCCAGCCGCCGCGGUUACACCACGUGACUCAAAUUGAUUUAUAUCGGCGUAAAGCGUGAUUUAAGAGUAUUAAGAUUGAAAUUAAAUUUUAAUUAAGCUGUAACACGCUUGUUUUUAAGAAAACCAAACACGAAAGUUAUUUCAAUUAUCUCCACUUGAAUUCACGACAAUUAGGAUACAAACUGGGAUUAGAUACCCCACUAUGCCUAAUCGUAAACUUUAAUUUACACUAACAUCGCCAGGGAACUACGAGCAAAGCUUAAAACCCAAAGGACUUGACGGUACCCCAAAUCCACCUAGAGGAGCCUGUCCUAUAAUCGAUAACCCCCGUUAAACCUCACCACUUCUAGCUUAUCAGCCUGUAUACCUCCGUCGUCAGCUUACCUCGUGAGCGAAUCAUAGUGAGCCUAAUGCUUAUACACCAACACGUCAGGUCAAGGUGCAGUAUAUGAAGUGGGAAGAGAUGGGCUACACUUUCUAAUUUAGAACAUACGAAAAAUUAUUUAUGAAAACUAAUUUGAAGGCGGAUUUAGAAGUAAAAAGAAAUUAGUGUAUUCUUUUUAACCCGGCACUGGGGUGUGUACACACCGCCCGUCACCCUCUUCAAGGCCUAUUUAUAGUAUUUAACUAAAUUUGCUAUUCAGAAGAGGCAAGUCGUAACAUGGUAAGUGUACCGGAAGGUGUGCUUGGAA